CGCCCCUAUAGCUCAAUGGGCAGAGCACUGGUCUCGUAAACCAGUGACACAGGUUCGAACCCUGUUGG
rnacentral:tRNA from 1 species